rnacentral:rRNA from 1 species
UACGAAGGGGGCUAGCGUUGUUCGGAAUUACUGGGCGUAAAGGGCGCGUAGGCGGCGUGUCAAGUCAGGCGUGAAAGCCCCGGGCUCAACCUGGGAACCGCGCUUGAGACUGGCAUGCUCGAGUUCGGGAGAGGAUGGUGGAAUUCCCAGUGUAGAGGUGAAAUUCGUAGAUAUUGGGAAGAACACCGGUGGCGAAGGCGGCGACCUGGUCCGUUACUGACGCUGAGGCGCGACAGCGUGGGGAGCAAACAGG